AUACGGAGGGUGCAAGCGUUAAUCGGAAUUACUGGGCGUAAAGCGUACGUAGGCGGUUUAUAAAGUCAGAUGUGAAAGCCCCGGGCUUAACCUGGGAACUGCAUUUGAAACUAGUAGACUAGAGUAUGGUAGAGGGGGGUAGAAUUCCUAGUGUAGCGGUGAAAUGCGUAGAUAUUAGGAGGAAUACCAGUGGCGAAGGCGGCCCCCUGGACCAAUACUGACGCUGAGGUACGAAAGCGUGGGGAGCGAACAGGAUUAGAUACCCCGGUAGUCC
rnacentral:rRNA from 1 species